CCUGUUUAACAAAAACAUGUCUUUUUGAGUUAUUUUUAAAGUCUGACCUGCCCACUGAAGUUAUUUAAAUGGCCGCAGUAUUCUAACUGUGCAAAGGUAGCAUAAUCAUUAGUCUUUUAAUUGAAGGCUGGUAUGAACGGUUGGACGAGGUAUAAGCUGUUUCAUAUAAAUUUAUAAUAGAAUUUUAUAUUUUAGUCAAAAAGCUAAAAUUUAAUUAAAAGACGAGAAGACCCUAUAAAUCUUUAUACUUCAUGCUGUUUAAAUUUUUUAGAUUAAUUUUAUUUUUAUAGUUUGAAGUAUUUUGUUGGGGUGAUAUUAAAAUUUAAUGAACUUUUAAUUAUUAAAAAUCAUUAAUUUAUGAAUUAUUGAUCCAUUAGUAGUGAUUAUAAGAUUAAGUUACUUUAGGGAUAACAGCGUAAUUUUUUUGGAGAGUUCAUAUCGAUAAAAAAGUUUGCGACCUCGAUGUUGGAUUAAGAUAUAUUUUUAGGUGU
rnacentral:rRNA from 1 species